rnacentral:rRNA from 1 species
AGAGUUUGAUCCUGGCUCAGAUUGAACGCUGGCGGCAUGCCGUACACAUGCAAGUCGAACGGCGGCACGGAGCUUGCUCUGGUGGCGAGUGGCGAACGGGUGAGUAAUAUAUCGGAACGUACCCUGGAGUGGGGGAUAACGUAGCGAAAGUUACGCUAAUACCGCAUACGAUCUAAGGAUGAAAGUGGGGGAUCGCAAGACCUCAUGCUCCUGGAGCGGCCGAUAUCUGAUUAGCUAGUUGGUAGGGUAAAAGCCUACCAAGGCAUCGAUCAGUAGCUGGUCUGAGAGGACGACCAGCUACACUGGAACUGAGACACGGUCCAAACUCCUACGGGAGGCAGCAGUGGGGAAUUUUGGACAAUGGGCGCAAGCCUGAUCCAGCAAUGCCGCGUGAGUGAAGAAGGCCUUCGGGUUGUAAAGCUCUUUUGUCAGGGAAGAAAAGGCUGCGGAUAAUACCUGUGGCUCAUGACGGUACCUGAAGAAUAAGCACCGGCUAACUACGUGCCAGCAGCCGCGGUAAUACGUAGGGUGCAAGCGUUAAUCGGAAUUACUGGGCGUAAAGCGUGCGCAGGCGGUUUUGUAAGACUGUCGUGAAAUCCCCGGGCUCAACCUGGGAAUGGCGAUGGUGACUGCAAGGCUAGAGUUUGGCAGAGGGGGGUAGAAUUCCACGUGUAGCAGUGAAAUGCGUAGAUAUGUGGAGGAACACCGAUGGCGAAAGCAGCCCCCUGGGUCAAAACUGACGCUCAUGCACGAAAGCGUGGGGAGCAAACAGGAUUAGAUACCCUGGUAGUCCACGCCCUAAACGAUGUCUACUAGUUGUCGGGUCUUAAUUGACUUGGUAACGCAGCUAACGCGUGAAGUAGACCGCCUGGGGAGUACGGUCGCAGAUUAAAACUCAGAGGAUUGACGGGACCCGCACAGCGGUGGAUGAUGUGAUUAUUUCGAUGCAACGCGGAAAACCUUAGCCUACCUUGACAUGAUGGAAUCCUUGAAAGAUUGAGAAUGCCCGAAAGGGACAGUACACAGGUGCUGCAUGCUGUCGUCAGCUCUGUCUGAAAUGUUGGGU